rnacentral:ncRNA from 2 species
AUGAUCAUAUGUAACUGGCGAACACGGUGAACCGUGAGGGAGCAUAUGGUUUGUAAUAAGCCGUACGCCUGGGCAGAGGUA